GCGACCGUAGGUUAGGCGGG
rnacentral:rRNA from 1 species